UACGAGGGGAGCAAGCGUUGUUCGGAAUCAUUGGGCGUAAAGGGCGCGUAGGCGGCCAGUCCAAGUCUGGGGUGAAAGCCCUCGGCUUAACCGAGGAAUGGCCUUGGAAACUGUACGGCUUGAGUAUUGGAGAGGAAAGCGGAAUUCCCAGUGUAGCGGUGAAAUGCGUAGAUAUUGGGAGGAACACCGGCGGCGAAGGCGGCUUUCUGGACAAUCACUGACGCUGAGGCGCGAAAGCCAGGGGAGCAAACGGG
rnacentral:rRNA from 1 species